GCUCCACCUCGUCAAGCAUGCUUAUAAGCUUUGCUUUCUUCAUCUGAAUUUCUUGUCUCUCGGUGGUUGUAAGCUCCGCGGCCCGUUUACCGUCGGUUUCUCCUUCUAAAGAACCGUCUGCAGUUCCGGUGGCAGCGGGAGCAUCUCCGAUCAUCUUCGAUUGAUUUCCGGUGGCCUUCUUUGGAGAUGAUUCACUUUUAAUUCCGUUUUGGGUGACAUUAACAACCUCAUCUAGAAGUUCUUGCGCAGCCUUAAGAUAUUUGGAGCUAAUUAAAACGCCCUGAAUUCCAGCAACGCCGUUAGUGACACCAGAAGCCGAAGAACUCGAUCCACCGGAGAUCCGCAUGUUCUCCUCGCCAGACGCCGCCUGUUGGGUCUGAGAUUGAACGUCUCUCGACCCAAAACCUUGCUGGUGCUGCGAAGAAAGGCUCAAGGACAAGCCCUGCUGAGCACGUGCAGACUCACGCGCGGCCGUGGAUGGGUCAAUUUGGUUCCAAAUGUUAUGGUGAAGGCGUGGAGCAAAGCCGUGCAAGGCAGAGAUAUCAUGGUGGGGAUUCAAAGGAUGCGAACUAUGGUCUUGUGACGUCGGGGAAGCGGCAGUCGUCUGCAACGGAAUUCCAACGAAUUGUUGAGUGUGAGAAGACGGGGGCGCUUGUGUGAGUGUAGUAUAGGAAUUAGCAGCCGUAGAAGGAGAAUUGAAGAAGACGAGAUUAGGGUGGGACGGAGGCGGCGGCGGCGGCGUGUCUGAGAAUUGAACAUAGCUUGGAUUCAUUAAGACAAGGGUUUGAAGGCCACCAUCAGAAGAUUGGAAUUGAUCAGAAUUUCCAUGAAGGUAAGUCGCCAUCGCCGACCGGGGAAGUGAGUUUCGAAGAAAAAUAUGUUAUCCUUUUUGUUGGGAAUUUACUUCACUCAAAGUAUAAUGGGAAAUCUGAGGAAGCACGUGUGGUUCAUGGAUCAAUCUGUUGAGAGUGAGAGAUAAUAAAAGUGUGUUCAAAUAUAGAGAGAGGAAGAAGAAAAGGCACUGUCAGACUUGAAAAUCUUCUUCUGCAACUUCCCCCACUAGCUGAAAAACG
rnacentral:misc_RNA from 1 species